AUUGAACGCUGGCGGAAUGCUUUACACAUGCAAGUCGAACGGCAGCACGGGUGCUUGCACCUGGUGGCGAGUGGCGAACGGGUGAGUAACAUAUCGGAACGUAUCCAAUAAUGGGGGAUAACUAAUCGAAAGGUUGGCUAAUACCGCAUACGCCCUACGGGGGAAAGCUAGGGACCUUCGGGCUCGGCGUUAAUGGAGCGGCCGAUAUCUGAUUAGCUAGUUGGUGGGGUAAUGGCCUACCAAGGCGACGAUCAGUAGCUGGUCUGAGAGGACGACCAGCCACACUGGAACUGAGACACGGUCCAGACUCCUACGGGAGGCAGCAGUGGGGAAUUUUGGACAAUGGGCGCAAGCCUGAUCCAGCUAUUCCGCGUGAGUGAAGAAGGCCUUCGGGUUGUAAAGCUCUUUCGCAAGGGAAGAAAACUUAUCCUCUAACAUAGGAUGAGGUUGACGGUACCUUGAUAAGAAGCACCGGCUAACUACGUGCCAGCCGCCGCCGUAAAAC
rnacentral:rRNA from 1 species